GACGAACGCUGGCGGCGUGCUUAACACAUGCAAGUCGAACGGAAAGGCCCUGCUUUUGUGGGGUGCUCGAGUGGCGAACGGGUGAGUAACACGUGAGUAACCUGCCCUUGACUUUGGGAUAACUUCAGGAAACUGGGGCUAAUACCGGAUAGGAGCUCCUGCUGCAUGGUGGGGGUUGGAAAGUUUCGGCGGUUGGGGAUGGACUCGCGGCUUAUCAGCUUGUUGGUGGGGUAGUGGCUUACCAAGGCUUUGACGGGUAGCCGGCCUGAGAGGGUGACCGGCCACAUUGGGACUGAGAUACGGCCCAGACUCCUACGGGAGGCAGCAGUGGGGAAUAUUGCACAAUGGGCGGAAGCCUGAUGCAGCAACGCCGCGUGCGGGAUGACGGCCUUCGGGUUGUAAACCGCUUUCGCCUGUGACGAAGCGUGAGUGACGGUAAUGGGUAAAGAAGCACCGGCUAACUACGUGCCAGCAGCCGCGGUGAUACGUAGGGUGCGAGCGUUGUCCGGAUUUAUUGGGCGUAAAGGGCUCGUAGGUGGUUGAUCGCGUCGGAAGUGUAAUCUUGGGGCUUAACCCUGAGCGUGCUUUCGAUACGGGUUGACUUGAGGAAGGUAGGGGAGAAUGGAAUUCCUGGUGGAGCGGUGGAAUGCGCAGAUAUCAGGAGGAACACCAGUGGCGAAGGCGGUUCUCUGGGCCUUUCCUGACGCUGAGGAGCGAAAGCGUGGGGAGCGAACAGGCUUAGAUACCCUGGUAGUCCACGCUGUAAACGGUGGGUACUAGGUGUGGGGUCCAUUCCACGGGUUCCGUGCCGUAGCUAACGCUUUAAGUACCCCGCCUGGGGAGUACGGCCGCAAGGCUAAAACUCAAAGGAAUUGACGGGGCCCCGCACAAGCGGCGGAGCAUGCGGAUUAAUUCGAUGCAACGCGUAGAACCUUACCUGGGUUUGACAUGGAUCGGGAGCGCUCAGAGAUGGGUGUGCCUCUUUUGGGGUCGGUUCACAGGUGGUGCAUGGCUGUCGUCAGCUCGUGUCGUGAGAUGUUGGGUUAAGUCCCGCAACGAGCGCAACCCUUGUUCACUGUUGCCAGCACGUUAUGGUGGGGACUCAGUGGAGACCGCCGGGGUCAACUCGGAGGAAGGUGGGGAUGACGUCAAGUCAUCAUGCCCCUUACGUCCAGGGCUUCACGCAUGCUACAAUGGCUGGUACAGAGAGUGGCGAGCCUGUGAGGGUGAGCGAAUCUCGGAAAGCCGGUCUCAGUUCGGAUUGGGGUCUGCAACUCGACCUCAUGAAGUCGGAGUCGCUAGUAAUCGCAGAUCAGCAACGCUGCGGUGAAUACGUUCCCGGG
rnacentral:rRNA from 1 species